UUUAUUGGAGAGUUUGAUCCUGGCUCAGGAUGAACGCUGGCGGCGUGCCUAAUACAUGCAAGUCGAGCGAAUGGAUUAAGAGCUUGCUCUUAUGAAGUUAGCGGCGGACGGGUGAGUAACACGUGGGUAACCUGCCCAUAAGACUGGGAUAACUCCGGGAAACCGGGGCUAAUACCGGAUAACAUUUUGAACUGCAUGGUUCGAAAUUGAAAGGCGGCUUCGGCUGUCACUUAUGGAUGGACCCGCGUCGCAUUAGCUAGUUGGUGAGGUAACGGCUCACCAAGGCAACGAUGCGUAGCCGACCUGAGAGGGUGAUCGGC
rnacentral:rRNA from 1 species